rnacentral:rRNA from 1 species
UACGGAGGGGGCUAGCGUUGUUCGGAAUUACUGGGCGUAAAGCGCACGUAGGCGGCUUUGUAAGUUAGAGGUGAAAGCCUGGUGCUCAACACCAGAACUGCCUUUAAGACUGCAUCGCUUGAACACGGGAGAGGUGAGUGGAAUUCCGAGUGUAGAGGUGAAAUUCGUAAGAUAUUCGGAAGAACACCAGUGGCGAAGGCGGCUCACUGGACCGUUGUUGACGCUGAGGUGCGAAAGCGUGGGGAGC